rnacentral:lncRNA from 10 species
GUAAGAUGUGCCUGCUUCCCCCUCGCCUUCUGGCAUGACUGUAAGUUUGCUGAAGCCUCCCAGCCAUGCAUCCUGUAAAGCCUGUGGAACUGAGAUUGAAGACGACAGAAGUAAGCGUUUGUCAAUUUGAAGACAGAUCAAUGGGAAGUAUACAAUCUGAAGAGCAGAGAAAAAAAUUACUGAAAACUGUUUAACAGAGCUUCAAUGACUUGUGGAAUUAAGUAACAUUAAGCAGUCUAAAUUUCUGGAGACAGAGUGAAACGGGAAAAAAAUAAAAAUUUUAAAAUAUUGAUUGAAAACUGUGUAGUGUGUCAUAUAGAUACAAUACAAUUUAAACACCCAUUCUAAUAAUUAUGAAUAUUUGGUUGGUAUUUAAUUUUAUUUGCUACUAAUCAUGCUGCAAGAUUUCUGUAGUCUAUGAUAUGCAUGUGGGAGCUUAAACUGACAGUUUGUAGGAUAUUUGCCUGUACAAAUUAGUAGUUAUUUGUCUCUUCCAUGCAAGUAAUCCUGGUGAGUCUAACUCUAGCUACAUAACUGAAGAAAAACAAUUACACUAUAUCUCUCUGUACAAAAAGAAAGUUGUUUAGGAUGUAGUCAAAAAGUUUAAGUUGCUGAAGUCCCUUGCUUUCAC